rnacentral:piRNA from 1 species
UACUUCUGUACUGAAUACAUCUAAAGGACC